UGGGGGAUUUGUAAAAAGUGGAGACUUUUGUUGGAGGGAAGUUAAAAAUAAAAGAGCGGCAAUGGCGGCAAAAUAUUUUUCAUCAAAAACACAUAACCCUCUUUUUCUUCCCUCCAAUUUUCAUGUCGCUCCUCCUUUCAUCUCAACCUCUCUAGUCUCUACUACGCUAACCACUUUCAAGUUUCAUGGCGAUUAGCGAUGUACCCUAUUCUUCCUUCAGAGUUUCAGUUCGAUGAGAAGAUUGAAGACUUGAUUCUAGUGAAGGAUAGUGUGGUCAAGUUUGAAUCAAUUUAGAUGCAAGAAAUAGUGGCAAUAACCCAACUUGCAUAUGGAACUUUCUGGUAAGUUUUCUGUUCUACAGACUAUAAUCAAUACAUAACGCAUAUUGGAGAACUAGCCUGCUUAGCAUAAAUCGGUGAAUUGGAACUUUUGAAGUUUGUAGGAUCAACAACUAAGUUUCCCCCCUUUUUGGUUGUAAAAUCACAGAUGGUGAACAUAAUUUUGAAGCCAUUUUAAAUGAUCCAAUUUUUUAAAAUCCUCUAUUUUAAAUAUAAAAGAUCUGCAUUUUACAUAAGUUAUCUGCUAAACUUUUACCUAGGUUUGAUCAUUUAUAC